UUAGAGUCAUUGCAGAGACGCGGACAGACGCAAAUUCACUCCGACAGCGAGCAUGAAGCGGUGGACGCAAAUUCCGCGGUGCGAUUGACGCGAUUGAAGGGGG